AAGUCAAAGUUGUCAGGAAACUAGGUUUGCCUUAGAGUUUCACUGACACAGAGGCAUCAGUGACGUGACACACGCUUAGAGUUUUGGACACAUGGCAGGACUAAAGUGGCAGCACAGCGGUACAGCCUAUGGCUGUGGGAGAAUGGGUGGCCCCAUCUGUAGAGGACCUUUAAGAGAAAUCAGGAAGCCUUGUCGGCCAGGCUGAGGCAGUUGGAGGGCAUUGGCUCCUGAGGUUCUGUGACAUGGCCCGUGUUCUGAUUCCAUGGUGGUAACUGUUGAGUUACCUGGCAGGGUACUCUCACUCUUUCAGAGGUUGGGCGACUGGCAGGAGCUUAUGCUCUGAUAGCUCUGACAACCGACUGAUUUGAGAUUUCACAGCUUUUAAAAGUUGUGGAUGAUUCCAUAACUUCCUUGGCUCUACCCGUGUCACGUUUACCAUCACUAUGGCAUUGAACCUGAAUCCUCCACCUGAUCAGGGAAUAAAAAAAAUAACAUGGUAGAGACCGAGGAAUUGUGCUCCCAAUUGGCGGAAUGCCAGCGGGAGCUAAAAGACUUGAAGAAACAAGCUCUUCAAGCAGAGGCAAAUGCCUAUAUCCUGGCCAAUCACCUUCAAGAACAUCGAUGUGAAGGGUAUAAAGAUCUGAUUGAAUCCCUGCUGAGGGAGAAGCCACAGUUGCUGGCAGAGGACCUGACAUCUCCAGAGAACCGAAA